AUGGACCUAAUGGAGAUGGACAAGGAGGAGCCGACGAGGCAGGUGCUGGAUUCCAUCAGGACUGCGGGGAAGAAGAGGAAAAAGGAAGAUGAUGGGAUUCUUGAGGAGGAUUACAAGAGUUUCUUGCUUGACUAUCCAACCACAGUCACAGUUUCUGAUCUUGGUACCAAAUCAAGCGCCGAAUAUGAAGUCAAGCAAUCUGGUGCUCAACUGCCAGUCCUUGAGGAAGCUCGCUCAUUCACAUCAUCUGAUAUCUCAACACUAUUUGAUGGUUCAGUGAGUUCUUCGUUGGGCUCCAUGAGACCCCUUGUUGAGAAGCUCGACAAAUUGCUAGAUCCUGCUCAGGAAUACUACAGGAAGUUGCCGAAGAGGAUCAAGGAGGGGAUGCACCUUCUCAAAGAUGAUCUUGAAGUGAUAAGCUCCUACUUUGAUGAACUGUCAGAGGUGGAGGACCCUCCCCCGAUGGCCAUGUGCUGGAUGAAUGAGGCACGCGACUUGUCUUACGAUAUGGAGGAUUACAUUAACAGCUUAUUAUUUGUGCCACCUGACUGUUUCAUCAAGAAGAAGAAGAAGAAGAGGAAGAGGAGGAGGAGGAAGAAGAUGAUGAUAAAGAAGAGGCUUAAGUGGUACAAACAGGUUGCAUUCACAGUGCAAGUGUCAGAACAUGGUAUUAAGACAAGUAAAAUCAUUCAUGUUAAUACCCCUCGUCUUCCCAGUAAGCCCAAUAUUGCAGAAAAUAUAUCAGAGUUCAGGAUCUAUGUCCAGGAGGCUAUUGAACGGCACGACAGAUACAAGCUCCAUUGUUACAGCAACUUGAUGAGGCCUACAUUCUUAUCCACUGGCCGUAUGCUUCCAGCGCCAUAUGAAGAAACUGCACAAAUUGUAACCGAUGGCCGGAUGAACGAGUUUAUCAACUCACUGACAGCUACUGAUGCGGCCGGCAGGCAGCAGCCCAAGGUGGUAUCUGUUCUUGGAUCUGGAUGUAUGGGUAAAACUACACUUGCGAACACGCUAUACAGCAGAAUUGGGAUGCAAUUUGAUUGCAGAGCCUUCAUUCGAAUGUCCAAAAAGCCUGAUAUGAAGAGACUUUUCUGUGACCUUUUCUCGCAACUCCAGAAGAAGCAGCCGCUACCUGCCAAUUGUAAUGAGCUUGGCAUCAGUGACAAUAUCAACAACCAUCUGCAAGAUAAAAGGUAUCUAGUUGUUAUUGAUGAUUUGUUGGAUGCGUCAGCAUGGGAUAUUAUUAAAUACACAUUUCCAAUGGGAAACUGUGGCAGUAGAAUAAUAAUAACUACACAGAUUGAAGAUGUUGCGUUAACAUGUUGCUGUGAUCAAUCGGAGCAUGUUUUUGAGAUGAAACCUCUUGACGAUGAUCACUCAAGAAAGCUAUUCUUUAACAGACUUUUUGGUUCUGAAAGUGCCUGUCCUGAAGAAUUCAAACAAGUUUCAAACGAAAUUGUUAAUAUGUGUGGUGGUUUGCCGCUAGCAACAAUCAGUAUAGCUAGUCAUUUGGCAAAUCAUCAGACAGCAGUAUCACUGGAUUUGCUGACAUACAUACGAGAUUCAUUGAGGUCCCAUUUAUGGUCAAGUUCUACUUCGGAAAGAACAAGACAAGUACUGAACCUCAGCUACAGUAAUCUUCUCGUCGUCUGAAGACAUGUUUGAUGUAUCUUCAUAUGUAUCCAGAGGGCUCCAUAAUCUGGAAGGAUGAUCUGGUGAAGCAGUGGGUGGCUGAAGGUUUCAUCCCUACAAUAAAAGGGAAAGAGCAAGGUCAAGACUGGAUGGACAAAGCUGCAGGAAUCUAUUUCGAUGAACUUAUUGAUAGAAGAUUCAUCCAACCUUUAUAUAUCAACUACAGCAAUGAGGUGUUGUCCUGUACAGUUCAUGACGUGGUACGCGAUCUUAUUGCACACAAGUCUGCUGAAGAGAAUUUCCUUGUGGUAGUAGACCACAAUCGAAAGUAUAUAGCACUUUCUAAUAAGGUCCGUCGACUAUCUUUCGUCUUUGGUGACACAAUAUAUCCCAAGAUACCAGAAAACAUAACAAAGUCACAAAUUCGGUCAUUCAGAUUUUUGGGAUUAUUCGAGUGUAUGCCUUGUAUUAGAGAGUUCAAGGUUCUCCGUGUUCUUAACCUUCACCUAUCUGGUCAUAAUGGGGACCAUGACCCUAUAGACCUCACUGGGAUUUCAGAACUGUUUCAGCUCAGGUAUUUAAAGAUUACAAGUGAUGUGUGCAUAAAACUUCCGAACCAAUUGCAAAUGCUGCAAUGUUUGGAAACGCUAGAUAUUAUGGAUGCACCAAGAGUCACUGCUGUUCCAUGGGAUAUUAUACAUCUCCCACACUUGUUGCACCUGACUCUUCCUAUUGAUAUAUAUCUGCUGGGUUGGAUCGGCAUCAGCCUUUCCCUUGGCAAGCUGAACUACCUGCAGGAUCUUCGUCUUAUGUCAUGUAGACCUUCAUUUAUGGGCAUGGAAGCUCUUGCUUAUUUGAUUGGAGGACACGGCAACCUGAAAACUAUAGUCGUGUCUAAUAGCUCAUCGGCUAAAAGUAUCGAGGUUCUUGGCACCUCACAUAUAAUUUCCUGGGAUGACUUGAAGCCUCCCCCUCUUCUCCAGAGAUUGGAAUGCUCACCCCACAGCUGCAUCAUGUUUGCCCGAAUUCCUAAGUGGUUUAAAGAACUUGGCAACCUAUGCAUUCUGAAGAUUCCAGUGAGGCAACUAACGACAGGUUGUGUUGACAUUCUCGGAGGAUUGUGUGCCCUCACUGAUCUGUCGAUAUAUAUGAAGACGUCGCCCAUUCACAAGAUCGUAUUUCCCAAGGCUGGGUCCUCGAUUCUCAAGUACGUCAAGUUGAGGUUCUCAACUGGAAUAGCUUGCCUAAAAUUUGAGACGUAUGCAAUGCCUAUACUCUUGAAGCUCAGACUAGUUUUCAAUGCCAUCCCCCCUAUGGACCAACAACUUCAUUUUGCUCCGAGCCAUCCCCUGCACUAAUUAGAAUCGAGUUUAUGCCAGGUGUUAGAGAGAUGUCAGCAAAAUUUGUGGGUGCAGCUGCUGAUCUAGAGUAUGCCUCGAGGACCUUGGUUAGGAGUCAUCCGAGCAAUCCUAGAAUCAAUUUGCAAUUGGUGGAUAACGCGAGCUCAAAACAGGAACAACAACCAUAUGAGACUCUGGAUAUAUCAAAUUGGCAUCCAAAGAAAAAACCGCACGUGAUUGUGGAGGAAGCAGAAGAAGAAGCUGACGAGAGCAGGAUGAAUGCAUACCACAAGGAAUUGUUGAGCCGUGCUAGAGCAGCUGAUAAAAGGGUUUCAAGGUCAGGGGAGUCCUCUUCCUGCCAGGAAGUUCCAGAAUUUGACUGAAAGGCAGAGCUCUCAAAGGGCAAGUAAAAUGGAGAACAAGUGCAGUAGGAGGCUAACCAAGGCCGUAGCAGCAGCCAGCAGGUAGCUGCUUCUAUUUGAACUUGCAGCAGGUAGCAGAUUAGCUCAACUCGCACUAAUUUUUCUUGGUACUAUGUACAAUUUCAGUUAGGUGCCAGACAGCUAUAUGUAUGUAUAUGUAUGGGACUACAAUAAAUCUAUCUCAGUUUCCAUACAGUUGCUAUAUUACCAGGGUGGUCGCCGAUGCCUCCCAACGUGUUAUGUCCUGCGUGUCAGCUAUAUGUAUGUAUUACUGGCUGACAUCCAGAAAUAGCUGCAGUUUUGAAGUACUUCCCUACUCUGGACAGCAUCAGCCUAGUCAUGGCCCUUUUAUCUCAGAUGUCAACCGUUGGUCCUCCAAAUUGCAGAGACUGUUAUAAUCCUAAUGAUGAAUGCCCCCCCUCUGAAGAUAUGAUAUCCAUUCAGUAACUGCCAUCAUAAUAGCUAAGAAUUUCUUCUUGCAGACUGAUAGUUUAUGGUUAACAGGUCCUAAUACCUUGUUACAGAAGCAAUUGGGUAGCCAGCUUGAAGUGAAACUGCUCCAAUGCGAAUAUAUCACAGGCAUCUCUUUCAUUUAUGAAGGGUUGUUGAAAAUCUUGGGAGUGCUAUUUCAGGAGCACCACUCACUGCCUGUUUUGAGCUGCUCAAAAGCUUUCUGAGCAACCUCUGUCCAAUCAAAUAGUCUGUUCUGCAACAACACAGUCAGUGGUUUUGCAGCUAGACCAUAGUGAUGCAAAAACUUUCUAUAAUAGCCUGUUAACCCCCAAAACCUCCUCAGUUCAGUCACAUUAGUUGGUAUUGGCCAUUGGAGCAUAGCAGCUUUCUUUUCUGGAUCAGUAGAUAAUAUGCCUGGUGGUAUUUCAAUUGCUUUUGUGCAAAGGUGCACUUGCCGAGUUUUGCAGUGAGCUGAUUGUCCUGUAAUGUCAUGUCUGUAAUACAAUUUGUAGAUGAGCUACAUGAUCUCCCAAGGAUUUACUAUAGUCCAAUAUGUCAUCCA